AGAAUCACGUGCCCUUUCUUUGCAGUGAAGGGGGUUUGUCAGAUAUAGAAUAAGCUCAGCAGGGAGGUUUUUUAAGGUGAUAUUCCAUUAAUUCAUCAGUGGUAGUGCAUUCAGCUAAUGGAGAGGUUUUGCAUAUAUGGGUAAUUCACCAUUGAUACAUUGAGAUAUUGAAACAUUAUGUCUUGGUAGUGUAAAUGAUGUGUACUUGUACUACUCAGACAUGGACUGAGGAAGACUGAGGAAGCUUCACACCUGCUGAAAGCAAACUUGGAGCCUCUCUCGAGGGAGUCGUGCAUCAUGAGGGACCUCUGCAGUGCCGUGUGCUGGAUUCGCAAGAGGUCCUGGAGGGUCAAAGUGACAACAGGAAUGAUCCAUUCAUGUUUAUUUUUAAUAAUAAGGAGGACAUGGAAACCUUGCUCUCCAAUUGCGUUGAUAGGAUGGGUCUUAAAAUUCAUGCCAUGUUUACAUAAGGAAAAAUUUGUAUUCUUUUUAUUCUGUUCCAUAUACUUUUUUUUUUUUGCACGUUUGUUCAAAUUUAUAUAUCAAUACACUACAAGAAAUGUUUGCCAAAUUA